AGAGUUUGAUCAUGGCUCAGAUUGAACGCUGGCGGCAGGCCUAACACAUGCAAGUCGAACGGUAACAGGAAGAAGCUUGCUUCUUUGCUGACGAGUGGCGGACGGGUGAGUAAUGUCUGGGAAACUGCCUGAUGGAGGGGGAUAACUACUGGAAACGGUAGCUAAUACCGCAUAACGUCGCAAGACCAAAGAGGGGGACCUUCGGGCCUCUUGCCAUCGGAUGUGCCCAGAUGGGAUUAGCUUGUUGGUGGGGUAACGGCUCACCAAGGCGACGAUCCCUAGCUGGUCUGAGAGGAUGACCAGCCACACUGGAACUGAGACACGGUCCAGACUCCUACGGGAGGCAGCAGUGGGGAAUAUUGCACAAUGGGCGCAAGCCUGAUGCAGCCAUGCCGCGUGUAUGAAGAAGGCCUUCGGGUUGUAAAGUACUUUCAGCGGGGAGGAAGGGAGUAAAGUUAAUACCUUUGCUCAUUGACGUUACCCGCAGAAGAAGCACCGGCUAACUCCGUGCCAGCAGCCGCGGUAAUACGGAGGGUGCAAGCGUUAAUCGGAAUUACUGGGCGUAAAGCGCACGCAGGCGGUUUGUUAAGUCAGAUGUGAAAUCCCCGGGCUCAACCUGGGAACUGCAUCUGAUACUGGCAAGCUUGAGUCUCGUAGAGGGGGGGAGAAUUCCAGGUGUAGCGGUGAAAUGCGUAGAGAUCUGGAGGAAUACCGGUGGCGAAGGCGGCCCCCUGGACGAAGACUGACGCUCAGGUGCGAAAGCGUGGGGAGCAAACAGGAUUAGAUACCCUGGUAGUCCACGCCGUAAACGAUGUCGACUUGGAGGUUGUGCCCUUGAGGCGUGGCUUCCGGAGCUAACGCGUUAAGUCGACCGCCUGGGGAGUACGGCCGCAAGGUUAAAACUCAAAUGAAUUGACGGGGGCCCGCACAAGCGGUGGAGCAUGUGGUUUAAUUCGAUGCAACGCGAAGAACCUUACCUGGUCUUGACAUCCACAGAACUUUCCAGAGAUGGAUUGGUGCCUUCGGGAACUGUGAGACAGGUGCUGCAUGGCUGUCGUCAGCUCGUGUUGUGAAAUGUUGGGUUAAGUCCCGCAACGAGCGCAACCCUUAUCCUUUGUUGCCAGCGGUCCGGCCGGGAACUCAAAGGAGACUGCCAGUGAUAAACUGGAGGAAGGUGGGGAUGACGUCAAGUCAUCAUGGCCCUUACGACCAGGGCUACACACGUGCUACAAUGGCGCAUACAAAGAGAAGCGACCUCGCGAGAGCAAGCGGACCUCAUAAAGUGCGUCGUAGUCCGGAUUGGAGUCUGCAACUCGACUCCAUGAAGUCGGAAUCGCUAGUAAUCGUGGAUCAGAAUGCCACGGUGAAUACGUUCCCGGGCCUUGUACACACCGCCCGUCACACCAUGGGAGUGGGUUGCAAAAGAAGUAGGUAGCUUAACCUUCGGGAGGGCGCUUACCACUUUGUGAUUCAUGACUGGGGUGAAGUCGUAACAAGGUAACCGUAGGGGAACCUGCGGUUG
rnacentral:rRNA from 1 species